CCCAUUCAGUAUAAUGUUGGCUGUCAGUUUGUCAUAGAUGGCUCUUAUUAUUAUGAGGUAUGUUCCUUCAAUACUUACUUUAUUGAGAGUUUUUAACAUGAAAGGGCGUUGAAUUUUAUUGAAGGCCUUUUCUGCAUUUAUUGAGAUAAUCAUGGUUUUUGUCUUUAGUUCCCAAUUGAUUGUUAUAAGUUGUUCUGCCAAAAAUAAACCUGUAUUAUUAAAAAGAAAUUAUGAAAACAAUGUUUUCUACAAGGAAAGGGGAAAUAUGAGCUGGAUAGUUUAUAGUGCCAUUCAAAUACUAGAGCAGGACAAGUUAGGAGCUGAAUAUAGACCUCAUCAAAAUGAAUUGACAUGGCUAUCUAACCCAAGACCAUCAUUGGGAGAGAUGUGUAUGGUAGAAACAAGGGUUUUUCUCCACUUAGGUUUUGAAUUAACCAAAAAAUAAGUUUAGAAAUCAGCAGAUAAAUAUCAAAUCACUGAUGUUAUUACUAGCAAAGCAGAAAUUUGAGAAUGUAGCUUUCUUUAUAAGCAAGUAAGCCUCCUUAUUUAUAACUCCUGAAUGAAAGACUUGCCCACCCAUUUACAAUUAACAGUAGACUGGAGCAAACCUCACACAUAGGUACUUCUAUCUAAAAGAGCAGAA
rnacentral:lncRNA from 1 species